rnacentral:rRNA from 1 species
UACGGCGGGCGCAAGCGUUGUUCGGAAUCACUGGGCGUAAAGCGCGUGUAGGCGGUUCGGCAAAUCGGCUGUGAAAGCCCGAGGCUCAACAUCGGAACUGCAGCCGAAACUGCCGGGCUCGAGUCCCGGAGAGGGGGGCUGAAUGUCCGGGGUAGAGGUGAAAUUGGGAGAUAACGGAAGGGACACCAGAGGCGAAGGCGGCCACCUGGACGGUGACUGACGCUGAGACGCGCAAGCGUGGGGAGCAAACAGG